rnacentral:rRNA from 1 species
AUUGAACGCUGGCGGCAGGCCUAACACAUGCAAGUCGAGCGGAUGAAGGGAGCUUGCUCCUGGAUUCAGCGGCGGACGGGUGAGUAAUGCCUAGGAAUCUGCCUGGUAGUGGGGGAUAACGUCCGGAAACGGGCGCUAAUACCGCAUACGUCCUGAGGGAGAAAGUGGGGGAUCUUCGGACCUCACGCUAUCAGAUUAGCCUAGGUCGGAUUAGCUAGUUGGUGGGGUAAAGGCCUACCAAGGCGACGAUCCGUAACUGGUCUGAGAGGAUGAUCAGUCAAAAUGGAACUGAGACACGGUCCAGACUCCUACGGGAGGCAGCAGUGGGGAAUAUUGGACAAUGGGCGAAAGCCUGAUCCAGCCAUGGCGCGUGUGUGAAGGAGGUCUUUGGAUUGUAAAGCACUUUAAGUUGGGAGGAAGGGCAGUAAGUUAAUACCUUGCUGUUUUGACGUUACCAACAGAAUAAGCACCGGCUAACUUCGUG